UCAUAGGGCCAUACCACCCUGAAUACGCCUGAUCUCAUAUGAUCUCAGAAGCUAAGCCUGGUUAGCUUCGGGUCAGGCCUGGUUAGUACUUGGAAUGGAAUCCAAUUUUAUUCU
rnacentral:rRNA from 1 species